GACGAACCGAGCGAACGUUGUUCGGAAUCACUGGGCUUAAAGGGCGCGUAGGCGGGUGCUCAAGUCCGUGGUGAAAUCCCCAGGCUCAACCUGGGAACUGCGUCUGAUACUGGAUGGCUUGAAUCCGGGAGAGGGAUGCAGAAUUCCAGGUGUAGCGGUGAAAUGCGUAGAUAUCUGGAGGAAUACCGGUGGCGAAGGCGGCAUCCUGGACCGGCAUUGACGCUGAGGAGCGAAAGCCAGGGGAGCAAACGGG
rnacentral:rRNA from 1 species